CCUCUUAGAUUACUUCCAUAAGUUCUUGGAAAGAUGUAUGUUAAUAGCUUACAUAGUCCAUAUCUUCCAUGUUGGAAUGAUGAGUAUUUUAAUAGAUUUAUGUUACUGUUGCAAUGUUUGUAAAUUGAUUCCAUGAGCUCUGGGAAAAUAUCAAUUUUCCUCCAUGAUUGCAUCUGCAAACAAGUAAAGUCUGAUUUUUGUGGGUGAAAAGUACUAGCAAGGGAUCACUAUUCUGUGAAAGGUUCUGCCUUCAUUUUAUAUGUCCUUAUUUUGGGGCAUUUGAAAAUCAUCUUCACAUUUGGCUUCUUCCAUGAAGAGGUGCGAGGGAAGUUUAUUCCUGUAAUGGAAUGAUAUUCUGUGCCUGGAUGCCUCUUCAUUGCGACAAGUGUAAGCUGAAUGUUAACAAUUUACAACAUGCAGUUUCAUGUUAGCCAUGUUGAUAAAGAAGCAAUGAGCCGAGGGUGCUGGCAACUCUUCUGAUUAGUCAAUCCAAGAAAUGUCAUAUGGCUAGUCCAAUGGGAGUCCUGUUGACUUCUCUAGUCUGACUUUGGUAUUGUUCAAACUGUUUAAGCAACUUAAUCCCUAGAUAAAAUGUGGGAGAUGUCUGGAGGCUCUCCUCUGAAAGGCAUUUCAUUCAUCACCUUAGUGUUCUGACCUGGGCUCUCCGCUUCUCUCCAGUUCCUUUUAUAAAGGUGCUUUCCUGUUGCAAUAGCUGGAAGAGGACGGGGUUUGGGCUUGGGAUAGAGAAGCUUUGUGGUGGAUUGGUAGGAAGGCAAGAGUUGGGGUAUGUAUCCUUUUCUUUUUCCGGACUUGGAGAAAUAUAUCCAUGAUAUAAUAAAAAUCUUUUUGGGUGAGACA